rnacentral:rRNA from 1 species
GUCGUAAAGCUCUGUUUUAGGGAAGAACAAGUACGGAGUAACUGCCGGUACCUUGACGGUACCUAACCAGAAAGCCACGGCUAACUACGUGCCAGCAGCCGCGGUAAUACGUAGGUGGCAAGCGUUGUCCGGAAUUAUUGGGCGUAAAGCGCGCGCAGGCGGUCCUUUAAGUCUGAUGUGAAAGCCCACGGCUCAACCGUGGAGGGUCAUUGGAAACUGGGGGACUUGAGUGCAGAAGAGGAAAGCGGAAUUCCACGUGUAGCGGUGAAAUGCGUAGAGAUGUGGAGGAACACCAGUGGCGAAGGC